AAAUCAGUUAUCGUUUAUUUGAUAGUACCUUACCACUUGGAUAACCGUGGUAAUUCUAGAGCUAAUACAUGCUAAAAACCCCGACUUCGGAAGGGGUGUGUUUAUUAGAUAAAAAACCAAUGCCCUUCGGGGCUCUUUGGUGAUUCAUGAUAACCUAACGGAUCGCAUGGCCUUGCGCCGGCGACGGUUCAUUCAAAUUUCUGCCCUAUCAACUUUCGAUGGUAAGGUAUUGGCUUACCAUGGUUUCAACGGGUAACGGGGAAUUAGGGUUCGAUUCCGGAGAGGGAGCCUGAGAAACGGCUACCACAUCCAAGGAAGGCAGCAGGCGCGCAAAUUACCCAAUCCCGACACGGGGAGGUAGUGACAAUAAAUACUGAUACAGGGCUCUUUUGGGUCUUGUAAUUGGAAUGAGUACAAUUUAAACCCCUUAACGAGGAACAAUUGGAGGGCAAGUCUGGUGCCAGCAGCCGCGGUAAUUCCAGCUCCAAUAGCGUAUAUUAAAGUUGUUGCAGUUAAAAAGCUCGUAGUUGAAACUUGGGUCUGGCUAGCGGGUCCGCCUCACCGCGUGCACUUGUCCGGCUGGACCUUUCCUUCUGGAGAACCUCAUGCCCUUUACUGGGUGUGUUGGGGAACCAGGACUUUUACUUUGAAAAAAUUAGAGUGUUCAAAGCAGGCCUUUGCUCGAAUACGUUAGCAUGGAAUAAUAGAAUAGGACGUGCGGUCCUAUUUUGUUGGUUUCUAGGAUCGCCGUAAUGAUUAAUAGGGAUAGUCGGGGGCAUCAGUAUUCAAUUGUCAGAGGUGAAAUUCUUGGAUUUAUUGAAGACUAACUACUGCGAAAGCAUUUGCCAAGGAUGUUUUCAUUAAUCAGUGAACGAAAGUUAGGGGAUCGAAGACGAUCAGAUACCGUCGUAGUCUUAACCGUAAACUAUGCCGACUAGGGAUCGGGCGAUGUUUCUAUCUUGACUCGCUCGGCACCUU
rnacentral:rRNA from 1 species